GACGAACGCUGGCGGCGUGCCUAACACAUGCAAGUCGAGCGAGUGGAUCUCCUUCGGGAGAGAAGCUAGCGGCGGACGGGUGAGUAACACGUGGGCAACCUGCCUCAUAGAGGGGAAUAGCCUCCCGAAAGGGAGAUUAAUACCGCAUAAGAUUGUAGCUUCGCAUGAAGUAGCAAUUAAAGGAGCAAUCCGCUAUGAGAUGGGCUCGCGUCCGAUUAGCUAGUGGUGAGAUAACAGCCCACCAAGGCGACGAUCGGUAGCCGACCUGAGAGGGUGAUCGGCCACAUUGGAACUGAGACACGGCCCAGACUCCUACGGGAGGCAGCAGUGGGGAAUCUUCC
rnacentral:rRNA from 1 species